AAAUUGAAACCAAAUAUUCAAGUCUCAACAGAUUAAAAUCAACAACUUGCCUACACACAACCGCUCGGAAUGAAUGGACUUCAAUUGACAAGUUUGGCUAUUCUGCUACAGCUUCUCUUUUAUGGACCGGGAACAUUGGCCACCAAGGCGUCUGGGCUACCUCCAAGACCCGAUAAGCGUUCGGAGGUCUUUGAAUUCCUCACAACCCAAAUCAAUGAAUGGAAUGUCAAACAAUUGAUAUUGGAAGCUUCAACAUAUUCGGAAAUGUUGAAACAAUUCGAUGAACUUCAAAAUCGCAGUGAAAAAACGACAGCAGCCAGAUCUCUCCAAAGGAUCAGAGAACAAAUUGAACGUUACAUCAAGGCCACAGAGAAACUGAAAACAAACGGUGAAAAUUGUGAACUGCAAGCCGAAGCUGGCCGAGAAUUGGAAGAAUUACCCAAAUAUUUGCAAUUAUUAAAUGAAAAUCCGAAUAACUCACAGAUCUUUAAUGCCUUCCGUCAGCGUUACAAUCAAGCCAAUGCCAAAAUUCAACAAGAAUUUCCAAUAUUCCUGAAUGGUAUUUAUCAAAAACUGCCCACGGUUAUUGAACGCUUUCGCCGAGAUUUAAAUCAACCCGAGAGGGAGGAGUAUAAAGAUUUUCUAAAAUAUUGUAGUGAGUUCUUAAUCGCCCCCAAUUCGAAGAAAAAGAAUGAGUCAUUCGAAAGGCUUAUCUAUGAUCUGAUACACAGCCGAACUAUGCGGGUUCGCAGUGAGAAUAAGGUGGACUGUAAAUGGAAUGGGGGAAAAAUUGAAGAUUUCUCGCAAAAACUUGCAGCGAUUUGAAAUUUAGUAAAACAAAUAAGAAAAAUAUUUGAAACUUGAAUAAACAUGACCAAGAAACUUGGAUUUUUCAUAGAAUAUUUUUUCAAGGAACAAAAGACCAAGAAACAAGGAUUUUUAAAGAUUAUUUUUUCUAGGACCACGAAACGUGUAUUUUUCACAGAAUAUUUUUUCAAAGAUCCAAGAAACUUGGAUUUUUUAAAGAAUAUUUUUUCAAGGAUCCAAGAAACUUGGAUUUUUUAUAGAAUAUUUUUUCAAGGACCAAGAUACGUGGAUUUUUAAAGAAUAUUUUUUCAAGGACCAUCAGUUAAUGAAACGUGUAUUUUUUAAAGAAUAUUUUUCAAGGACCACUAGACCAAGAAACGUGGAUUUUUUAAAGAAUAUUUUGUCAAGGACCAUCAAUUAAUGAAACGUGGAUUUUUUAAAGAAUAUUUUUUCAAGGACCAUCAGUUAAUGAAACGUGGAUUUUUUAAAGAAUAUUUUUUCAAGGGCUAUCCGAACAAGAAAUGUGGAUUUUUUUAAGAAUAUUUUUUCAAGGACCAUCAGUUGAAGAAUCGUGGAUUUUUUAAAGAAUAUUUUUUCAGGGCCAUCAGUUGAAGAAUCGUGGAUUUUUUAAAGAAUAUUUUUUCAGGGCCAUCAGUUGAAGAAUCGUGGAUUUUUUUAAAGAAUAUUUUUUCAAGGACCAUCAGUUGAAGAAUCAUAGAUUUUUUAAAGAAUAUUUUUUCAGGGCCAUCAGUUGGAUAUUUUAAAGAAUAUUUUUUCAAGGACCAUCAUCCUCUUAAUAAUUUUUAUAUAUUGAAAAUAGAAUAAUCGGUUUUUCGAAAACCCAGAAUAAAACUAUUUUUUCCGGCAAGAAUUCCUGGCAAAUGGGAAAUGAAUAAUAUUGCAAUGAGAUUCCGAUUAGAUCGCUUUGGGAAACCGACGUUGAAACAGUUGAAUGUUAACUAUGAAAUUUCUUCUCAGCAUUUGCCUAACUCUGCUGGUGGCAGCACAGAUUUCAUGGGCUGCUCCAGUAGAGACUUCCAGUACCGAUGUAGUAUCGGCCCCUGAAACCCCCACCCAUGACAAACGUUUUCAAUUGUUCGACUCUCUUCUGUUGAUGGCGAAUAAUAUUAUCGCCUCGGAAAACAUGGCCAAAUCUUCUAUCUAUGCCAAAGUGCUGAAAGACUAUUCUGCCUGGUUGGAGGAUAAGAAACCAAAAUUGUCACCUAAAAAAUUGCCAGUCUAUGAGGAAAUGAAAGAAAAACUACAAGCUUAUGUUACAACUGCGGAAAGCUUUGAAAAUAAUCCCACAAAUUGCACGCUACGUCACCAGGCAUAUACGCUACUAUUCGACAUUGCACAUAUCCGUAAUGUCUUGCGACGACAGGAAGUCAAUGAAAUCUUUCUGAGGCAUACAGAGACAUCGCAGGAUGCCAAAUUUGAAGAAAUUAAAAAUAACUUUUUGAAUAAUGAUUUGCCCUCUGCGGUUCGGCAAGUGGAAAAUUUCAUCGCCAGCCUGGAUGCAGUUGGCCGGGAAGAAAAUCAAGAUCUUAUCAAUUGGUUUAAUGUUCUGCAAACCAAAACUACGGACAAAGACAAGCUUGCUGCAUUCCAUGAUAUUCUUGAAAUAUUCCUAAAUGAAUACGAACGUGAAACGAAAGCCGGACAUGUCAAUUGUCGGUUAACUGUUUUCCGCACAAGUUAUGAGCAAAUUAUACGUGGGGUGCUCAAUGUGUAUUUUACGGACCUUAACCAGGACGAUGAGGAAUAGCUCCAAAACAACUGAUUACUUUUACAGCGAUAUUCAAUAAAAGUUUUUAAAUUUUAAAAGUACAUUUCAAAGUACCCCCUUUUAACUUCAGGAAUAUAUUUCCGUAGAUUCUCAAUAAACGUAGAUUUAAAAAAUCAA